ACCCUGGGGCCCAGGUUGCAGUUUAUUGAUGGCUCAGAGUUUAUGAAUUGAUGCCCUCAGCAGGUUGCUGCCCUGAUGAAUGGCAAUUACUGCGGCUCCCACAGAGGCAAUUGUAGUCAGAGCAUUUACUCCUUUCAAAUAAUUGCCCCUGAGAAGUUGAACAGUAAACCCAGUGCACCGAAAACAGCCAGGUAUCUCUCCUUCAAGGCAAUCUGCCCAUCGUUAUUCAAAGUACUAGGGGUUUAAAAAGUGUCUUAGCAUCAUCAUAUUUCAGACUGAGAAAAGACAGAUCUGUUUUUUCCUACUCAAAAGGAGUGGAGUGAAAUCCAAGUCCUCCAAAAAAGAGACGGAAUGCUGUUCUACCUCACUACUCACUCCUACUCCAAACUUUAACUUUUGGACUCACAUCAUUUUUAGAAUGUUAAGCCAUUUUUCAAAGACAUUAGACUCCCAAGAGACCACGAAGUUACGACAUUGAAAACAACCCAGAGUGUUCACAGCAUCGCAAACUGCACUCCUUCCACCCUCCAGUCUUUCGAAAGGAGGUUUGGGAAGACAUGAGCUGUUGAGAAGUUGCCAGUUAAGAAGUCAGUUUGGAAGCCACUUUAAACCAAAGUUGCGUAAUCAGAACUGUUGGUCUUAAGAAUUAAAAUUCACUGGAAUAUUUGACACUCAGCAUGUAUCAAGUCCAUCCCUUAAAAUGAAAAUUAUUGGCUGACCAACUAAUAAUUGGAUGGGCCUAACAGUACAAAUAAUGACUGAGAAGACUGAAGAGGCCAAUCUGAAAGGGCAGACUACAUUUCCCAGCCUUCCUUGCAAUGUUCUGUGGAUAGAACUAAUGUGAGCCAUUUCUGGAAUUGGCCUGUAUAAUCUUCCUGCCAAUAAACCUUCAUUCUGCCUCUACAUUGUUCCUCUCCAUGUGAGGGCUGAAUCUUGAGAACUUUAAGUACCCAGAGGGGGGCAGAGCCACACAAGAGCAAAGCCGCAAGAGAAAAGUUUUUCUUUGAAGGAAAGCCAGACAUUUUUUUUUUAAUUUUCUGAUAUAUUCUUUAAUCGAAAUGAGAAAAAAUAAGAAAUAAUAAGAAAAUCAACAACAUAAUUUUUAAAAAGUGGACAAAAUACUUGAAGAAAUAGUAAGAAACAAUAAGAAAAUCAACAACCUAAUAAAAAAAGUGGGGAACAUAUUUGAAGCAGAUACAACAAAGAAGAUAUACAGGUGGCAAAUAAGAGCAUAAAAAGGUGCUCCACAUCAUUUGUCUUUAGAGAAAUGCAAAUUGAAAUCAUAAGAUACUAGUCACAUCUAUUAGAAUGGCCACAAUUAAAAAAAUUUCACAAACCAAUGUUGACAGGGAUUUAAAUCAACUACAACUCUCACACACUGCAAAUAGGCACGCAAAAUAGUACAACCACUUAAGGAAACAAUUUGGCAGUUUCCUAAAAAGUUAAACAUAUAACUACCAUGCGAUCAGCAAUUCCACUCUAGGUAUUUCGUCAAGAGAAAUUACAGUAUAUGUGCACACAAAGAUUUAUACAUAAAUAUUCAUAAAGCUUUAUUUACAAUAGUCCAAAACUGAAAUAACUCAAAUGUUCAUUAACAGGUAAAUGGAUAAAUAAAUUGUGACAUAUCCAUACAAUGGAAUACUGAAAUAAGCAACAAUAUUGGUUGAAAAUCUAAAUCAACCCAGAACAUUGCAUUAUGCUGCUGUAUACCUGAGAAUAAACUUUUAUUAUAUUAAGCCCUAACAUUUGGAAUUUGUAGUUAGCUUAUCAUGACUAAUUUGAAAAGAUUCCAAGAAUGAAAAGCAGAAAGACUUCCAUCAACAUUCUAGAAUCAGUAUCAUUUAUGGAUGUUAAGCAUGGAUUGGAAGGCUAUAAAAAUAGGUAUCUUCCUUAGUUAAUGUCAGAAUUUAAUCAUCACUAGAGUGAGAAUUCUUCCAAUAUCUUUUUUAAAAAUGGGAAUAUUCAGGGAGAGAAAAUGUGCUUUCAUUAGGCCAUUUUCCACAUAAUAGGAAAAAUGGGAGUAACUUCAGAGAAAAGUAUGAUGUUUGA